rnacentral:rRNA from 1 species
GAUGAACGUUGGCGGCGUGGAUUAGGCAUGCAAGUCGCGCGAGAAAUGUAGCAAUACGUGGAAAGCGGCGAAAGGGAUAGUAACACGUAGGUACCUACCCCCGGGCCUGGGAUAGCGGUGGGAAACUGCCAUUAAUACCAGAUAACGUCUCCGGACCAAAGGUGUGAUUCCGUCUGGGGAGGGGCCUGCGUCCUAUCAGCUAGUUGGUGAGGUAACGGCCCACCAAGGCAAUGACGGGUAGCGGGUGUGAGAGCACGACCCGCAUCACUGGGACUGAGUCACUGCCCAGACACCUACGGGUGACUGCAGUCGAGAAUCUUCCGCAAUGGGCGCAAGCCUGACGGAGCGACGCCGCGUGCGGGAUGAAGGCCUUCGGGUUGUAAACCGCUGUCAGUGGGGAGGAAAUGCACGGGGGUUCUCCCUCGUGUUUGACCGAUCCGCAGAGGAAGCACAGGCUAAGUUCGUGCCAGCCGCCGCCGUAACAC